rnacentral:rRNA from 1 species
CCUGGGCUANAUGCUGAUCGACCGUGGGUGAAAGCUCAUUUUGUAGCAAUACACUGGCUGUAAGGUGCUGCAUGGCUGUCGUCAGCUCGUGCCGUGAGGUGUUGGGUUAAGUCCCGCAACUAGCGCAACCCCCAUCACUARUUGCCAUCAUGUAACGCUGGGAACUCUARUGAAACUGCCGUCGUAAGACGUGAGGAAGGAGGGGAUGAUGUCAAGUCAUCAUGGCCUUUAUGCCCAGGGCUACACACGUGCUACGAUGGAGAGGACAAAGAGCUGCCACUUGGUGACGWGGANCUAAUCUCAAAAACCUCUUCUCACUUCAGAUUGGAGUCUGCAACUCNACUCCNUGAAGCUGGAAUCGCUAGUAAUCGUANAUCAGCAANGNUACGGUGAAUACGUUCCCGGACCUUGCACACNCCGCCCGUACACAC